CCUACGGGGGGCUGCAGUGGGGAAUAUUGGGCAAUGGGCGCAAGCCUGACCCAGCAACGCCGCGUGAAGGAAGAAGGCUUUCGGGUUGUUAACUUCUUUUAUCAGGGACGAAGCAAGUGACGGUACCUGAGGAAUAAGCCACGGCUAACUACGUGCCAGCAGCCGCGGUAAUACGUAGGUGGCAAGCGUUAUCCGGAUUUACUGGGUGUAAAGGGCGUGUAGGCGGGAGUGCAAGUCAGAUGUGAAUACUAUGGGCUCAACCCAUAGCCUGCAUUUGAAACUGUACUUCUUGAGUGCUGGAGAGGCAAUCGGAAUUCCGUGUGUAGCGGUGAAAUGCGUAGAUAUACGGAGGAACACCAGUGGCGAAGGCGGAUUGCUGGACAGUAACUGACGCUGAGGCGCGAAAGCGUGGGGAGCAAACAGGAUUAGAUACCCUUGUAGUC
rnacentral:rRNA from 1 species